AUGGCUGGGCCUGCUACGGUUCGAUCCGGCCGACGCCGUCGGGGCCGCCCUCCUGGGAUUCGGGCGGCUGUCAUUGCCCGCGUGCGCCGCGCUGCCGGCCGCAUUUCUUCCGUGGAUUCGUCGUCGACGAUGGCAUUCGCUGGUGGGCGUGGCCGGCCGGCUGAUUCGGGAUGCAGCCUCCGGUCCGGGUCUCGCCGGCCGUUUCGUUCUUCCCGGGCUGAUUCGUGGCGAGAUGUUAAUGUGGACGUUGAUAGUCGUCGUCGGGAGAUUUCAUUAGGGAAGCGGCCUGUGGAUUGUACCGUCGGUGCUGCCGUUGGUGCGUGCUCUUCUUCAGUGGCCGGUGGGUCUGUCCCGGCUGUUUGGCCUGCCAGCGUACGACCUGGUAUUCUGCUUGUCGAAGUGGUUGACAGAACGAGUGCUUCUGUUUCUGAUUUUCCUGCUGGUGUUCAUCUUUAUGGCUCUUUGGUUGGUGAUACGACUUUUCAUUGCCGUCCAAGAGUGGUGCCUUUAUGUGCCGCUGGUAUCUUUGGUCGGCCUACUCCUCUUGUGAUGCCUACUCCUCUUAUGGAGCAUUUUCGUGUUGUGUGUGCACGCCGUAAGCGGAUUUUGGUGCGAUCGUACUGGUCGGGCCGGAAAAGAGUACGUGUGAUGCAACCUCCCUUUUCUAAAGAUAACAUCCAAUUGGUUAAGGCUACUUUUAGAGGUUGUUUGGAUAGGUGGUUUGUAGAAAAUCCGUUCUAUAUAAACUAA
rnacentral:rRNA from 1 species